AUUGAACGCUGGCGGCAGGCUUAACACAUGCAAGUCGAGCGGGGUGAUGGUGCUUGCACUAUCACUUAGCGGCGGACGGGUGAGUAAUGCUUAGGAAUCUGCCUAUUAGUGGGGGACAACAUCUCGAAAGGGAUGCUAAUACCGCAUACGUCCCACGGGAGAAAGCAGGGGAUCACUUGUGACCUUGCGCUAAUAGAUGAGCCUAAGUCGGAUUAGCUAGUUGGUGGGGUAAAGGCCUACCAAGGCGACGAUCUGUAGCGGGUCUGAGAGGAUGAUCCGCCACACUGGGACUGAGACACGGCCCAGACUCCUACGGGAGGCAGCAGUGGGGAAUAUUGGGCAAUGGGGGGAACCCUGAUCCAGCCAUGCCGCGUGUGUGAAGAAGGCCUUAUGGUUGUAAAGCACUUUAAGCGAGGAGGAGGCUCUUUUGGUUAAUACCCAAGAUGAGUGGACGUUACUCGCAGAAUAAGCACCGGCUAACUCUGUGCCAGCAGCCGCAGUAA
rnacentral:rRNA from 1 species